GUCGAGCGGUAGCACAGAGAGCUUGCUCUCGGGUGACGAGCGGCGGACGGGUGAGUAAUGUCUGGGAAACUGCCUGAUGGAGGGGGAUAACUACUGGAAACGGUAGCUAAUACCGCAUAACGUCGCAAGACCAAAGUGGGGGACCUUCGGGCCUCAUGCCAUCAGAUGUGCCCAGAUGGGAUUAGCUAGUAGGUGGGGUAACGGCUCACCUAGGCGACGAUCCCUAGCUGGUCUGAGAGGAUGACCAGCCACACUGGAACUGAGACACGGUCCAGACUCCUACGGGAGGCAGCAGUGGGGAAUAUUGCACAAUGGGCGCAAGCCUGAUGCAGCCAUGCCGCGUGUGUGAAGAAGGCCUUCGGGUUGUAAAGCACUUUCAGCGGGGAGGAAGGCGGUGAGGUUAAUAACCUUGUCGAUUGACGUUACCCGCAGAAGAAGCACCGGCUAACUCCGUGCCAGCAGCCGCGGUAAUACGGAGGGUGCAAGCGUUAAUCGGAAUUACUGGGCGUAAAGCGCACGCAGGCGGUCUGUCAAGUCGGAUGUGAAAUCCCCGGGCUCAACCUGGGAACUGCAUUCGAAACUGGCAGGCUAGAGUCUUGUAGAGGGGGGUAGAAUUCCAGGUGUAGCGGUGAAAUGCGUAGAGAUCUGGAGGAAUACCGGUGGCGAAGGCGGCCCCCUGGACAAAGACUGACGCUCAGGUGCGAAAGCGUGGGGAGCAAACAGGAUUAGAUACCCUGGUAGUCCACGCCGUAAACGAUGUCGAUUUGGAGGUUGUGCCCUUGAGGCGUGGCUUCCGGAGCUAACGCGUUAAAUCGACCGCCUGGGGAGUACGGCCGCAAGGUUAAAACUCAAAUGAAUUGACGGGGGCCCGCACAAGCGGUGGAGCAUGUGGUUUAAUUCGAUGCAACGCGAAGAACCUUACCUGGUCUUGACAUCCACAGAACUUUCCAGAGAUGGAUUGGUGCCUUCGGGAACUGUGAGACAGGUGCUGCAUGGCUGUCGUCAGCUCGUGUUGUGAAAUGUUGGGUUAAGUCCCGCAACGAGCGCAACCCUUAUCCUUUGUUGCCAGCGGUUCGGCCGGGAACUCAAAGGAGACUGCCAGUGAUAAACUGGAGGAAGGUGGGGAUGACGUCAAGUCAUCAUGGCCCUUACGACCAGGGCUACACACGUGCUACAAUGGCAUAUACAAAGAGAAGCGACCUCGCGAGAGCAAGCGGACCUCAUAAAGUAUGUCGUAGUCCGGAUUGGAGUCUGCAACUCGACUCCAUGAAGUCGGAAUCGCUAGUAAUCGUAGAUCAGAAUGCUACGGUGAAUACGUUCCCGGGCCUUGUACACACCGCCCGUCACACCAUGGGAGUGGGUUGCAAAAGAAGUAGGUAGCUUAACCUUCG
rnacentral:rRNA from 1 species